GGGAAUCUAGAAACCGUUCUGGCCCUGUCUCACGAAAACCUAAUUAUCUCUUAACAUACCACUCAUAUGACCAUUUCGUUUCUUCCAUAUGAAAGUGGAUUCAUCAAGGUUCAUUUAGAUAAUUUAUUCACUAUUUAAUUCUAUUCCUACUAUUUUUAGUGAUUUUCCAAAUCUACAUCACUGCUGCUGUCAGCAUCUGCCUUUAAGGUAGACUUUACCUAUUUCAUAGUUUCCAUGAUUCAACUAGCCCUUUUAGCAUAAAUAGCACAAAUUAUGAUAGUGAUUAACCAUUCCCAUGGCCAAUCCUUGUUAAGCAUAUCCACACCUCUCAAUAACCAUAUCCAUACCAAAUGAUUAUAACAUUAUGCUCAAACAUAUAUAAGCCAUUUUCGCAUGGCUAUCCAAAAUUAUACAAAUCCAAAGGGUCCAUGACCCACUACAAAAAAGGGUAGUCCUAUACAUGCCAUUUUCAGAGUUCAACCAAAAGUGUACCAAAAGGGCUUUAAUAGUAUGGACGACUUCGACUUCAAUAAUCCCGAGUCCGAUAGCUGACGAACCAAAAUCUAUAAAACAGAGAUUCAAAGAACGGAGUAAGCAUUUAAUGCUUAAUAAGUUUUAAACAAGACAAAGUGUUCUCAAUCACUAUUAUUGGUCAUUCAUUUCAACUGUUCGAUGAAGUUAAUCUAGAGCUUCAUUUCGAUCUAUAAUAUCAUUAAACGCAACACUUGGCUGCCACAUAUAUACUUUCGAAUAAUAAUGACCUAGAUGGUCAAAUAUUUCCAAAGCACAUUCUCACAUUUGGAGUUGUAAUAUUAAUCACAUUUACCUACCUCUUUGAUACUGAUAAUUCACCUCGAAAUCACUCCACUGAUGAGUAAGUAAUACGUACCUGAACAUCUUGAAUACAUAAUACUUAUUUGAUGGUAACUUAAUGCAGAUACUCAAUAUCAAAGUCUUACAUGAAUCCUAGCAUUUAGCCGUCGGGUCUUUAAAGCUCAGAUAUAGUACGAGCACGAAGCCUACGGACAUUAAUCAGGAUAAUACUCUCGCAUAAAGCCUGCGGGGUUUUAACCCGGAUAUAAUACUGACACAAUUGCCCUUCGGGACUUAUCACAUUUAUACACUUUCACAUCCAUCACGUUGGCCACUCGGCCCUGUCACAUAUAUACACUUUCACAUUCAUCACAUCGGUCAUUAGGCAUCAUCACAUAUAUACACUUUCACAUUCAUCACAUCGGCCAUUAGGCCUUAUCACAUAUAUAUACACUUUCACAUUCAUCACAUUGGCCAUUCGGCCUUAUCACAUAUAUACACUUUCACAUUCAUCACAUCGGCCAUUAGGCCUCAUCACAUAUAUACACUUUCACAUUCAUCACAUCGGCCAUUAGGCCUCAUCACAUAUAUACACUUUCACAUUCAUCACAUCGACUAUUAGGCCUCAUCACAUAUAUACACUUUCACAUUCAUCACAUCGGCCAUUAGGCCUUAUUACAUAUAUACACUUUCACAUUCAUCACAUCGACCAUUAGGCCUUGUCACAUAUAUAUACACUUUCACAUUCAUCACAUUGGCCAUUCGGCCUUGUCACAUAUAUACACUUUCACAUUCAUCACAUCGGCCAUUAGGCCUUAUCACAUAUAUAUACACUUUCACAUUCAUCAUAUCGGCCAUUAGGCCUUAUCACAUAUAUAUACACUUUCACAUUCAUCACAUUGGCCAUUCGGCCUUAUCACAUAUAUACACUUUCACAUUCAUCACAUUGGCCAUUCGGCCUUAUCACAUAUAUACACUUUCACAUUCAUCACAUCGACCAUUAGGCCUUAUCACAUAUAUAUACAUUCACAUCACAAUUAUCCAAAUAUACUUCACAUAUCACAUAUACUAUCAUGUAUACACUUUGUCUUGGCCGAAUCUACAUUAAUCAUUUCCCAAUGAAUAAUUCAAUUUCACGCCAUACUAUCAUUUCAUAUUCGAAUACUCAUAAACUUACAAUUUCACAAAUUUUAAUAUCAAAAAUCCAUCUAACACUCAUGUAUCGUUUUACAAUAUCACGAUUUAGAAUUCACGUAUGGGUUUAAUCAAUAGCUUAUGAGUAACUAAAACAAGUUUUAUCCAUGUUUACAACAAAAUCACAUAUUCACUACGAGUUGUUUUCCUGAGCAGUAAUCACUAAAUUAUUUAUAACUGGAGAUACAAAACUCCAAAUCACUUGCCGUUAAUUUUCCAUGAAUAUAGACUCGUGUAUCUUCCAUCCAUAAAAUUUUCAGAAUUUUAGGUUUGUCCAAUCAAUACCAGAUUUUUCUUAAAGUUUCCCCUGUUUCACUGUUUGACUAAUCUGACCACUAUUCACUACGAAUCAAAUUUCUCAUUUUACAGAAUUCAAAAUGUGUUGUAUUUGAUUUCAUUUGAAACUAGACUCAUUAAGGAGUCUAAGCAUAUAAAUUUUAUCUUAUAACCAUUUUUGUACAAUUUAUAAUGAUUUUCUAAAAACAGAACAGGAGAUUUCGGAGUCAUUCUGACACCGUCUCACACAACUUUAAAUACCUCUUUAUAGGAAAUUUGUUUGCUCACAAGGUCUCUUUUAUAAGAAACUAGACUAAUUAAACCUUGAUUACAUAUUUUAUUCAGCCUAUAAUUCCACACCAACAAUUUAUAGUGAUUUUCUAAAAUCACGUUACUGCUGCUGUCCAAAGUAAAUUAUUACAAUUUGCUCUUAACUUUCCAAGUCCAAACACAUAUGAACUUACCAUUUGAGUUUAAGACAUAUCAUGGCCACAUCAUAUCUUAUUAAAUCAACUCAUUAUGUCCUAUUAUGAUUGAAUUUACUCAACGUUUAAUCACUUAAAACUUACCUCGGAAGCGGUUGACGACUAGAUAUCCACGGCUAUUCGUCUACUUUCUCUUUUCCCCUAUCCGACUUUGAUCCUCUUUGCUCUUGGGCUUAAUUUAACAAAUAAAUUGAUUUAAUCAUUUGAGCAUCGAAAAGAGGAACUCAAGAUACUUAGCCCAUAUAUAUAUACAUUGGACAUUAAAGUCACAUACAUAUGAAAUCAUGAAUCAACUCAACAUAUUAAUCCACACUUCCUUUUAGCCGAUUGUCUAAGCCAAGAUAAAAGCAUCAAUAUGCUUGCCUCUAACCGAAUACAUGCAACACCAAUCUUCUUCCUAUGGCCGAAUAUGCAUGUCUAUGUUGAGGCCGAUUAUAUGCUUAAUACUUCCUACAAUUAUGGUUACUUGUAUUGAUUAUAUAUCAUCUUGUUUCAAGUUCAAAACUCGGCUAAUACGCAUAUAUACACUAGUAAUCAAAUACUAACAUUUUGCACUUCACCUUACUACCAUUUCACAUCUAUUUUCUACCAUGGCCGAAUGCAUCAAGACACCAUACCAUUCAAUUUUGGUCAUGGGUUACACAAAGAACUUAAUGUCUAACUCAAAAAUGCCAAAAAGAAAAUCCAAGAGUCAUCAAUCACCAUCACAUGUAUCAUUACAAAGCUUUACACUUAGCAUGCAAAUGACAUCAACACAAAUCCACCUUAGCCGAAACUUAACUCAUCUUCAUGCCUCAUCACCACAACAUCAAACAUCAACUAAGAAGACAACACCCAUGGCCGAAUAUCAUCUCCAUCUCAUAGCAAAGAUUUAAACCAUGGGCUAGGUAGAACUCAACUAACAACUAAAAACAUGCAUGAAUCUCAAGGACAACAUCAAACAUACCUUAGUCUAGCAAACCACCAUAGCCGAUUUUCUCAAGCUCUUCCCCUUCCUUUCUUUCCACUAUUCGGCCAAAGAUGUUCAAGAAUGAACACUUUUUUUUGUUUUCUUUCUUCAAUUCACGGCAAUGGGGGGGAAACAUGGAUGAGACAAUUUUUUUCAUCAUCAUUUACCUUUCCAUUAUUAUUUUAUUACCCAUACUCCUUAUUUUAUUUUAUUGUUUCCUCCCAUGAUGCACCAACACAACAUGUCUAUGACAUGUUUUGCCCAUCACCCUUUGUCCAUCCUAAUGUCAUGGCCAGCCACUACUAGAUGGGGGAAAAAUUGACAUGCAAGUCCCCCCUUUUUCAACAUGCACUAAUAGGUCCUUAUGUUUUGAUCUAUCACAUUUCAAAAAUGUCACACAUAAGUCCUAUUGACUAAAUUCACAUGCAAUUUACUAAAUCGAAGCUUAAAAUUUUCACACAUUUAUUUUAGACAAUAAAUAUCAUAUUCAAAUAAUUGUGACUCGGUUUAGCGGUCCUGAAACCACUUUCCGACUAGGGUCACUUUAGGGCUGUCACAAAGCAGGCUCUUAUGGCUAAUUUAUUAGAAUUAUAUGAAACCGAUAGAGAUGAUAAUAAUUUGGCUGAGUUGAUCAACACAAAAAUACACUUAAACUUUAAGAUUGAAAAGGAUGAACGCUACUGGGAAUAGAGGGCUCGAUUGAACUAGUUAAAAUUUGAAGAUAAAAAUACAACCUUUUUUCAGUCAUGCAACACAACAUAAGAAGAAAAAUCUCAUUCAUAAGUUACUAAAUGAAUAUGGAAGUGAAACAGAGGCCUUACAGGAAAUGGAGGGAGUCGUUUGUUCAUGUUUCCAGAAGUUAUUCUUGGCAGGACAAAAAGGCCCUAAUGAACAUUUGUCAUCAGGCAUUAGCCGGUGCAUACAUGAUGAGGAUAAUAUACAACUAACUGCGAAAUAUACGAAAGAAGAAAUCAAAGCAGCAGUGUUUGAGAUGGGAUCUAAGAAGGCUCCGGGAGAAUAUGGAUUUCUAAGACUAUUUUAUCAGUAAUGCUAGCGCACUAUUGGAGAUGAAGUCAUUGGUUACUGUCUACAACUUUUAAAUGGUGAUAUGGAAGUUAGUUCAAUUAACUCUACAAAUAUGGUGCUAAUCCUAAAGAAUUUUAGCCCUUCUAAUAUGACACAUUUUCGUCCGAUUAGUCUUUGUAAUGUUCUUUAUAAAAUCUUUGCAAAGGCUAUUACGAAUCAUUUUUGAGAGGUGAUUGGUAAAUGUAUUGAUGCUGCACAGCGUGCUUUUGUGCCAGAAAGAUUAAUAUCUGAUAACGUACUAUUAGCUUAUGAAAUUCUAAAUACGUUAAAGCAGAAGAGGAUGGGGAAAGAAGGGUUCAUAGCAAUGAAACUCAAUAUGAGUAAAGCUUAUGAUAAAGUAGAAUGGGACUUUACAAAGCAGAUAAUGAUACGAAUGGGUUUUGCAACUCGAUGGAUAGAGACUAUUAUGCAAUGUAUUACCACUGUUUCUUAUUCAGUGGUUAUGAAUGAACAUCUAUGAGAGAAAUUUCAACCGACCAGAGGACUUCGUCAGGGUGACCCAUUAAGCCCAUUUCUAUUUCUUUUAUGUGGUAAGGCCUUAUCGAGUCUAAUGCGACUAGCAGUAGUAGGAAUGGUCCGCCAACCUCACACUUACUUUGUAGAUAACUGUAUCCUAUAUGGGGAAGCAACAAGAAGGGGGGCACAUUAAUUCAAAAAAUAUCUUACAAGAAUAUAGAUUUUGCUUGGGUCAGUGUGGGAACUUUAAUAAAUCAACGGUGUUUUUCAGUAAAAACACAUUAGAGGAAGAUAAGCAACAGGUAGUCAAUGUAUUGGGAGUUCGUAGUUCAAGCGAGCCAGAAUGCUAUCUGGGUCUGUCGAAUAUGGUGGGAAAGAAAAGAAAUGAAGCUUUUCAGAAUUUGAAAGAUUGCCUUAAAAAACGUAUCGAUAACUAGAGUACCAGGUUUCUAUCGCAAGGUGGGAAAGAAGUCUUUACUAAAGCAAUUCUCCAAGCUGUUCCAACUUAUACGAUGGCCUAUUUUUUAUUACCUCAUUCUCUAUGUGAUGAUCUUGAAAAUAUUAUAGCAAAAUAUUGGUGGUAGAAGGGACAUGGGAAAAGCGGAAUUCAUUGUUGCACUUGGAAAAAUCUUUGUUUUUUAAAAGAAAAUAGUGGUUUAGGUUUUCGAAAUUUGAGCCAAUUUAAUAUUGCGUUGCUUGCUAAACAACGAAGGCGUCUGAUUAAUUAUCCUAAUUCAUUACUAGCCAGGGUCUUAAAAGAAAAAUACCAUCUGAAAUCGAAUUUCCUAAAGGCUCAGUUAGGAACUUUACCUUUACUUACCUGGAAGAGCAUUUAGGCAGCAAAGGGUCUCAUUUAAAAAAGUUUAUGCUGGCGAAUUGGAACAGGAAAUAAAGUCUCCAUUUGGAAUGAUUGUUGGAUCCAGGGGAUUGAAUUAUUGGAAAAGCACAAUAGUUCAGACAAUAUGCAGUUAGAGUUAGUAUCAGAUCUUAUUGAUAAUGCGAAUAGGAAAUGAAGGGAAGAGCUGAUUAGAAAUACCUUUCACCCAGAUGUUGCUCGUAUAAUUUUACAGAUCCCAUUAUCGGAAUCAGAUCACGAGGACUUUCAAGUUUGGAGGGGCCAACCGACUGGUGAAUACUCAGUUCGUAGUGCUUAUAAACUAGUACAAAAUGCUAAUCUGGAUCCUAGUAAUUAUUUAUUACAGACCGAAAUUAAUUGGAAAGCUAUGCAACUUACAGCUACCAUCUAAGAUUACAAUCAUAAUCUGGUGCAUCUCCUUUAAUUACAUUCCUACAUUGGCCAAUCUCAGAUAUAGAAAAUUAGUGACAAAUGCUAGUUGUCCUCAUUGUGGUUAUGGGGAAGAAGAUUGUCAUCACAUCUUCAGGCAAUAUCCUAUAAGCACCGAAGUCUAGUAGUUAUUAAAUCUAUCUUGGAUCAGAAAUAUCACGCAUCAAAAUCUUUGGGAAUGGCUUACCGCGAUUUUCAAACAAGGAACAAACGAAUAGUGCAAAUACUUUUGUUAUGCCUUAUGGUUACUUUGGUAUUCAAGGAAUCAGCUUUUGCAUGAAAGGGUACAUUCAACAGGCAAAAACCUUGUACAAAAAGUCUAGAACCAUAUGGCAGAAUACGAAGGGAUUAAAGCAAAGAAGAUUUUAUCAAACAUGGUGCAUAAUCAAAGAACUGUGGAGGACUUACCGAUUAUGAAAAUCUAGUUUGAUGCUGCGUUCGAUUGUAAAGAUUUUAGAUUGGCGUCAGGGCUAGUGGUCUGGGGUACGAUGAACAAGUAUUUGGCCUCAAAAUCGAUUCUUCAUAACAAUAUUGCAUCUCCUUUUGCAGCAGAAGCAUAUGCAGGCUUGGAAGCAGUUAAGUUAGGAAUCGAAAUGGGUUUUCAAGAAAUACAAAUAUUAGGUGAUUCACUAACAGUAAUCAAGAAAUGUUAGUCAACAGAAACCGAUUAUUCAGUUAUUGGAGCGAUUAUUAGAGACAUCCAGAGUAAGAAAUCAUGUUUCCAAAAGAUUGAGUUCAAGCAUAUGCAAAAAACGAAGAAUACGAGAGCCCAUAAUAUCACGAAGGAAGCAUUGAAGAGAAGCGAGAGGGCAUACCUAGAGAAUAAAGAGAAGAUUCAUCACAAUGUUGGUGUAGCAGAGCAAUGGGCAAGGAAUCCGGAGUAAGAAGAUAAAGAAAGGAUUUGGUUCUAAAGCAGAUAGAAAAGAAAGAUAUUCUUGGGCAGUGCUAUCGUCAAACGGAUGGAGCAGAUGGGACAGAUUGACUAAGGGUAGAUUAGGUUUCCCUUUUUCAAGGCGUAUUUAUUUUCUG
rnacentral:lncRNA from 1 species